GCGGUGGAGCAUGUGGAUUAAUUCGAUGCAACGCGAAGAACCUUACCUGGGUUUGACAUGCACUGGAUCCCAUCAGAGAUGGUGGUUCCGUAAGGCUGGUGCACAGGUGGUGCAUGGCUGUCGUCAGCUCGUGUCGUGAGAUGUUGGGUUAAGUCCCGCAACGAGCGCAACCCUCGUUCCAUGUUGCCAGCGCGUAAUGGCGGGGACUCAUGGGAGACUGCCGGGGUCAACUCGGAGGAAGGUGGGGAUGAGGUCAAGUCAUCAUGCCCCUUAUGUCCAGGGCUUCACACAUGCUACAAUGGCCGGUACAGAGGGCUGCGAAGCCGUGAGGUGGAGCGAAUCUCGUAAAGCCGGUCUCAGUUCGGAUCGGGGUCUGCAACUCGACCCCGUGAAGUCGGAGUCGCUAGUAAUCGCAGAUCAGCAACGCUGCGGUGAAUACGUUCCCGGGC
rnacentral:rRNA from 1 species